rnacentral:rRNA from 1 species
UACGGGGGGGGCAAGCGUUUGUUCGGAAUUACUGGGCGUAAAGGGCGCGUAGGCGGUUCGCUAAGUUGGAUGUGAAAACUCUGGGCUCAACCCAGAGCCUGCAUCCAAAACUGGCGGGCUAGAGUUCUGGAGGGGGUAGCGGAAUUCCUGGUGUAGCGGUGAAAUGCGUAGAUAUCAGGAGGAACACCGGUGGCGAAGGCGGCUACCUGGACAGAAAACUGACGCUGAGGCGCGAAAGCUAGGGGGAGCAAAACAGG